UCUGCUUGACUAGCUGAGAGGAGGUGCAUGGCCGUCGUCAGUUCGUACUGUGAAGCAUCCUGUUAAGUCAGGCACGAGCGAGACCCACGCCAACAGUUGCCAGCAUGUCCUCCGGGAUGAUGGGGACACUGUUGGGACCGCCUCUGCUAAAGAGGAGGAAGGAAUGGGCAACGGUAGGUCAGCAUGCCCCGAAUUAUCCGGGCUACACGCGGGCUACAAUGGUCAGGACAAUGGGUAUCGACACCGAGAGGUGGAGGCAAUCUCCUAAACCUGUCCUUAGUUCGGAUUGUGGGCUGCAACUCGCCCACAUGAAGCUGGAAUCCGUAGUAAUCGCGUUUCAAAAUAGCGCGGUGAAUAUGUCCCUGCUCCUU
rnacentral:rRNA from 1 species